AAUACUAUACUUUCAGGGGUCAUUCUAUAGUUCAUUACUAAAGAAGUUUCUAUGGCUGUGCAAAGUACCAGAAACCAUGAGGAGGAGGCCUAGCAUGCUCUCCUGAGUGUGAAGUCUGCUCUUGGUAUUGCUUUGUUGCAACUGCCACUUGCCUUUAGAGGAGCUGGAGGAAGAGGAUACAGUCUGAGUGGG
rnacentral:snoRNA from 1 species